UACGUAGGGAGCAAGCGUUGUCCGGAAUCAUUGGGCGUAAAGCGCGCGUAGGUGGCCCAGUAAGUCCGUUCUGAAGGUCACAGGCUCAACCUGUGAAAGCGGAUGGAUACUGCUGGGCUAGAGUCCGGAAGAGGCGAGUGGAAUUCCUGGUGUAGCGGUGGAAUGCGCAGAUAUCAGGAGGAACACCAACGGCGAAGGCAGCUCGCUGGGACGGUACUGACGCUGAGACGCGAAAGCGUGGGGAGCGAACAGG
rnacentral:rRNA from 1 species